rnacentral:rRNA from 1 species
AUUGAACGCUGGCGGCAUGCCUUACACAUGCAAGUCGAACGGUAACAGGUCUUCGGAUGCUGACGAGUGGCGAACGGGUGAGUAAUACAUCGGAACGUGCCCGAUCGUGGGGGAUAACGAGGCGAAAGCUUUGCUAAUACCGCAUACGAUCUACGGAUGAAAGCGGGGGAUCUUCGGACCUCGCGCGGACGGAGCGGCCGAUGGCAGAUUAGGUAGUUGGUGGGAUAAAAGCUUACCAAGCCGACGAACUGUAGCUGGUCUGAGAGGAUGAUCAGCCACACUGGGACUGAGACACGGCCCAGACUCCUACGGGAGGCAGCAGUGGGGAAUUUUGGACAAUGGGCGAAAGCCUGAUCCAGCCAUGCCGCGUGCAGGAUGAAGGCCUUCGGGUUGUAAACUGCUUUUGUACGGAACGAAAAGCCUCUUUCUAAUAAAGAGGGGUCAUGACGGUACCGUAAGAAUAAGCACCGGCUAACUACGUG